CUUGAACGCUGGCGGCAGGCUUAACACAUGCAAGUCGAGCGAGCGGCGGAAGGGUGCGUCAUGUCUGGGAAUCUGCCUGAUGGAGGGGGAUAACUGCUGGAAACUGUAGCUAAUCGCGCAUACCAUCAGAUGUGCCCAGAUGGGAUUAGCUAGUAGGUGGGGUAAUGGCUCACCUAGGCGACGAUCCCUAGCUGGUCUGAGAGGAUGACCAGCCACACUGGAACUGAGACACGGUCCAGACUCCUACGGGAGGCAGCAGUGGGGAAUAUUGCACAAUGGGCGCAAGCCUGAUGCAGCCAUGCCGCGUGUGUGAAGAAGGCCUUCGGGUUGUAAAGCACUUGCAGCGAGGAGGCGUUACUCGCAGAAGAAGCACCGGCUAACUCCGUGCCAGCAGCCGCGGUAAUUC
rnacentral:rRNA from 1 species